rnacentral:rRNA from 1 species
GCAUAUCAAUAAGCGGAGGAAAAGAAACCAACAGGGAUUGCCCUAGUAACGGCGAGUGAAGCGGCAACAGCUCAAAUUUGAAAUCUGGCUCUUUCAGAGUCCGAGUUGUAAUUUGCAGAGGGCGCUUUGGSUUUGGCMSCSGUCCAAGUUCCUUGGAACAGGACGUCACAGAGGGUGAGAAUCCCGUACGUGGUSGCKAGCUMUUGCCGUGUAAAGCCCCUUCGACGARUCGAGUUGUUUGGGAAUGCMGCUCUWAAUGGGAGGUAAAUUUCUUCUAAAGCUAAAUAUUGGCCAGAGACCGAUWGCGCACAAGUAGAGUGAUCGAAAGAUGAAAAGCACUUUGGAAAGARAGUCAAACAGCACGUGAAAUUGUUGAAAGGGAAGCGCUUGCMGCCMGACUUGCUUGCAGUUGCUCAUCCGGSCUUUUGCCCGGUGCACUCUUCUGCAGGCAGGCCAGCAUCAGUUUGGGCGGUGGGAUAAAGGUCUCUGUCAUGUACCUCUCUUCGGGGAGGCCUUAUAGGGGAGGCGACAUACCACCAGCCUAGACYGAGGUCCGCGCAUCKGCUAGGAUGCUGGCGUAAUGGYUGUAAGCGRCCCGUCUUGAAACACGGACCAAGGAGUCUAACAUCUAYGCGAGUGUUUGGGUGUCAAGCCCGAGCGCGYAAUGAAAGUGAACGGAGGUGGGAACCCGCAAGGGUGCACCAUCGACCGAUCCUGAAGUUUWCGGAAGGAUUUGAGUAAGAGCRUGGCUGUUGGGACCCGAAAGAUGGUGAACUAUGCUUGAAUAGGGUGAAGCCAGAGGAAACUCUGGUGGAGGCUCGCAGCGGUUCUGACGUGCAAAUCGAUCGUCAAAUUUGGGCAUAGGGGCGAAAGACUAAUCGAACUAUCUAGUAGCUGGUUCUGCG